rnacentral:rRNA from 1 species
UCUCCUACGGGAGGCAGCAGUGAGGAAUAUUGGUCAAUGGACGAGAGUCUGAACCAGCCAAGUAGCGUGCAGGAUGACGGCCCUAUGGGUUGUAAACUGCUUUAUGUGGAAUAAAUNGAGAUNUACGUGUANUCUNUGCAU